UACAGAGGGGGCAAGCGUUAUUCGGAAUUAUUGGGCGUAAAGGGCGCGUAGGCGGCUUUGCAAGUGGCGGGUGAAAUCCCUCGGCUUAACCGAGGAACUGCCUGUCAAACUGCAUGGCUUGAGACCAGGAGAGGUGAGUGGAAUUCCCAGUGUAGCGGUGAAAUGCGUAGAUAUUGGGAGGAACACCAGUGGCGAAGGCGGCUCACUGGACUGGUACUGACGCUGAUGCGCGAAAGCGUGGGGAGCAAACAGG
rnacentral:rRNA from 1 species